AAAAGGAAGCGAUAUUGGUGAGGUUCAAUCCGAAGACGGAUCUUAUUAGAGGUACUGGAAUUAUUAUUGUAAGAUACGAUCUCAGAUUGAGCCGCGCCAAUAUCACUCUCUGCUAA
rfam:Spinacia oleracea cultivar SynViroflay scaffold67052.con0001.1, whole genome shotgun sequence.